rnacentral:sRNA from 12 species
CAUGCUCCACACAAAUUAUUAGUAAUUUGAGUCAGAGGCCAUCCAACUGAAGCAGUGAUGUAACACCAGUAGUUUUGAUUGCUUUAAAAGCAAUAGAAAGCUACGCAAGAGUGU